GACUCUAUCGUCUAGUGGAUCAGGACAUCUCUCUUUCAAGGAGGCAAUAGGGAUCCGACUUCCCCUAGGGGUA
rnacentral:tRNA from 1 species